AGUGCAAUUUCUGGGUUGUAUGGUAAUUGCACGUUUAGUUUUAUGAGAAACUGUCAAACUGUUUUCCAUAAUAGCUGUACCAUUUUACAUUCCCAACAGUAAU
rnacentral:pre_miRNA from 1 species